rnacentral:rRNA from 2 species
GRUCGAACGAACUCUGGUAUUGAUUGGUGCUUGCAUCAUGAUUUACAUUUGAGUGAGUGGCGAACUGGUGAGUAACACGUGGGAAACCUGCCCAGAAGMGGGGGAUAACACCUGGAAACAGAUGCUAAUACCGCAUAACAACUUGGACCGCAUGGUCCGAGUUUGAAAGAUGGCUUCGGCUAUCACUUYUGGAUGGUCCCGCGGCGUAUUAGCUAGAUGGUGAGGUAACGGCUCACCAUGGCAAUGAUACGUAGCCGACCUGAGAGGGUAAUCGGCCACAUUGGGACUGAGACACGGCCCAAACUCCUACGGGAGGCAGCAGUAGGGAAUCUUCCACAAUGGACGAAAGUCUGAUGGAGCAACGCCGCGUGAGUGAAGAAGGGUUUCGGCUCGUAAAACUCUGUUGUUAAAGAAGAACAUAUCUGAGAGUAACUGUUCAGGUAUUGACGGUAUUUAACCAGAAAGCCACGGCUAACUACGUGCCAGCMGCCGCGGUAAUWCGGUCAUAGCUGUUUCC